rnacentral:rRNA from 1 species
UACGUAGGGCGCAAGCGUUGUCCGGAAUCAUUGGGCGUAAAGCGCGUGUAGGCGGCUCGGUAAGUCUGCUGUGAAAGUCCAGGGCUCAACCCUGGGAUGCCGGUGGAUACUGUCGAGCUCGAGUCCGGAAGAGGCGAGUGGAAUUCCUGGUGUAGCGGUGAAAUGCGCAGAUAUCAGGAGGAACACCAAUGGCGAAGGCAGCUCGCUGGGACGUGACUGACGCUGAGACGCGAAAGCGUGGGGAGCAAACAGG